AACGCACAUUGCGCCCCUCGGUACUCCGGGGGGCAUGCCUGUCCGAGCGUCAUUGAAAACUAUCAAGCCUGGCUUGGUCUUGGGCGAGGUCUGGGGACCCGCCCGCAACCCGUCGGCGGUGCCGGUUCGGCCCUGAGCGUAGCAGAAAUACUCGCUCGGGGGUCGCUGCGGUGCCCGCCAGCAAAGUUCCCAUCUACAGUUUGACCUCGGAUCAGGUAGGGAUACCCGCUGAACUUAA
rnacentral:misc_RNA from 1 species